GAAAUUCAACACAUUUUUCUGGGCUAAAAGCGUUUGUUUUGUUUUGUUUUUUAAACCCCCACUUUACAAGCAUUGCUAUGGUCUAUUAUUUACGUACGCAAACAACGCACUUGCAACGCGGCGGUUUGUUUAAAUCACCCAAACAACAUGAAGAGGCCGGCGCGCUGUCGGACAGCUUUGGAAGGGGGAAUAAGUGAACUACGUUUGAGUGGGCACAUACUUGCUUUUACAACUGGAAACUUUUCUUGGGACUGUGGAAAUCCUUGGCGCAACUCUGGCAAUAACUUGAGGAUAAGCUGCUUCUUCUCUUCGGCACGUUGUACAGGGGGCUCUGCUUCAUGGCUUCUAUGGCACUGCGACACUCGCCCUGCGCCUCCAGACCGGUGACCGCGCUGAAGUUGCUCUCCCUUCCCGCCACGCACUGCCUCAUCGUCCGGUACUUGGUGCUGCAGCUGUACUCCUUCAGACAUUGUUCACUGGCUUUUACGCAGUCCAGGCGGACGGCCCGGGAGGUCGGGCUGCUGUCACCCCGCAAGCAGGUGGAAAGACAAAAAAAAAAGAAAGAAACGGCGUUUGAUCCGGACUCCUCCGCUGUGAUGAUGACAAACUGAGAGGGAGACGCAACGCGCGAGGACGUGACGUCAUGCGACUACGCGCACAACAACCCCUA